UGGGGAAUAUUGCACAAUGGGCGCAAGCCUGAUGCAGCCAUGCCGCGUGUGUGAAGAAGGCCUUCGGGUUGUAAAGCACUUUCAGCGGGGAGGAAGGCGUUAAGGUUAAUAACCUUGGCGAUUGACGUUACCCGCAGAAGAAGCACCGGCUAACUCCGUGCCAGCAGCCGCGGUAAUACGGAGGGUGCAAGCGUUAAUCGGAAUUACUGGGCGUAAAGCGCACGCAGGCGGUCUGUCAAGUCGGAUGUGAAAUCCCCGGGCUCAACCUGGGAACUGCAUUCGAAACUGGCAGGCUAGAGUCUUGUAGAGGGGGGUAGAAUUCCAGGAGUAGCGGUGAAAUGCGUAGAGAUCUGGAGGAAUACCGGUGGCGAAGGCGGCCCCCUGGACAAAGACUGACGCUCAGGUGCGAAAGCGUGGGGAGCAAACAGG
rnacentral:rRNA from 2 species